AGUGGGUUGUACCAGAAGUAGAUAGCUUAACCUUUUGGAGGGCGUUUACCACGGUAUGAUUCAUGACUGGGGUGAAGUCGUAACAAGGUAACCGUAGGGGAACCUGCGGUUGGAUCACCUCCUUACUAAAGA
rnacentral:rRNA from 1 species